rnacentral:rRNA from 1 species
UACGGAGGGUGCAAGCGUUAUCCGGAUUCACUGGGUUUAAAGGGUGCGUAGGCGGGCAGGUAAGUCCGUGGUGAAAUCUCUGAGCUUAACUCAGAAACUGCCAUGGAUACUAUUUGUCUUGAAUAUUGUGGAGGUAAGCGGAAUAUGUCAUGUAGCGGUGAAAUGCUUAGAGAUGACAUAGAACACCCAUUGCGAAGGCAGCUCACUACCCGAAUAUUGACUCUGAGGCACGAAAGCGUGGGGAUCAAACAGG